GAUGAACGCUGGCGGCGUGCCUAAUACAUGCAAGUCGAGCGAAUGGAUUAAGAGCUUGCUCUUAUGAAGUUAGCGGCGGACGGGUGAGUAACACGUGGGUAACCUGCCCAUAAGACUGGGAUAACUCCGGGAAACCGGGGCUAAUACCGGAUAACAUUUUGAACCGCAUGGUUCGAAAUUGAAAGGCGGCUUCGGCUGUCACUUAUGGAUGGACCCGCGUCGCAUUAGCUAGUUGGGGAGGUAACGGCUCACCAAGGCAACGAUGCGUAGCCGACCUGAGAGGGUGAUCGGCCACACUGGGACUGAGACACGGCCCAGACUCCUACGGGAGGCAGCAGUAGGGAAUCUUCCGCAAGGGACGAAAGUCUGACGGAGCAACGCCGCGUGAGUGAUGAAGGCUUUCGAGUCGUAAAACUCUGUUGUUAGGGAAGAACAAGUGCUAGUUGAAUAAGCUGGCACCUUGACGGUACCUAACCAGAAAGCCACGGCUAACUACGUGCCAGCCGCCGCUGUAA
rnacentral:rRNA from 1 species